UACGUAGGAGGCAAGCGUUGUCCGGAAUUACUGGGCGUAAAGCGCGUGUAGGUGGUGGGACAAGUCUGCUGUGAAAGCGCCUGGCUUAACCGGGCGAGGUCGGCGGAAACUGUCCGACUCGAGGACGGUAGAGGGGGGUGGAAUUCCCGGUGUAGUGGUGAAAUGCGCAGAUAUCAGGAGGAACACCAAUGGCGAAGGCAGCUCGCUGGGACGUUACUGACGCUGAGACGCGAAAGCGUGGGGAGCAAACAGG
rnacentral:rRNA from 1 species